rnacentral:rRNA from 1 species
UUGUCUUUUAAAUGAAGACCCGUAUGAAUGGCAUGACGAGGGCUUAACUGUCUCCUUUUUCCAGUCAAUGAAACUGAUCUUCCCGUGCAGAAGCGGGAAUAUUCACAUAAGACGAGAAGACCCUAUGGAGCUUUAGACACCAGAACAGACCAUGCUAAUAUGCCCAACAACAUAAAACUAUUUGGCCCCUGUCCUAAUGUCUUUGGUUGGGGCGACCACGGGGAAACAAAAAACCCCCAUGUGGACCUGGGAGUACAUCUUAUGCUCCUAAAACCCAGAGUUACAACUCGAAGUAACAGAACUUCUGACCAACGCGAUCCGGCUACUUGCCGAUCAACGGACCGAGUUACCCUAGGGAUAACAGCGCAAUCCUCUUUUAGAGCCCAUAUCGACAAGGGGGUUUACGACCUCGAUGUUGGAUCAGGACAUCCUAAU